GCUACGUUCUCGCUCUCGCUCACGCUCCUGCUGCUCGAGCCGGAGACGUGCACGCUCCACACGCGCCAGUGUGGGGCUAUCGAGUAUCGAAGGGGCACGCGAGGGUGGACGCGAAUUGUUUGCAGCAUUCGUGUGCAACUGCUGCAGUUGAUGCUGCAGCUGCUGCUGCUGUUGCUGCUGCUGGUGGUGCAGCGUCUCGAGUGUGGCACUGUUGUUGGAGGAGGUCGACCCUGGUGUGGGCGUGGCCGAUGACGAGGAGUU
rnacentral:sRNA from 1 species